UACGUAGGAGGCAAGCGUUGCCCGGAAUUACUGGGCGUAAAGCGCGUGUAGGUGGUGGGACAAGUCUGCUGUGAAAGCGCCUGGCUUAACCGGGCGAGGUCGGCGGAAACUGUUCGACUCGAGGACGGUAGAGGGGGGUGGAAUUCCCGGUGUAGUGGUGAAAUGCGUAGAGAUCGGGAGGAACACCUGUGGCGAAGGCGGCCCCCUGGGCCGGCCCUGACACUGAGACGCGAAGGCGUGGGGAGCGAACAGG
rnacentral:rRNA from 1 species